CAAAGUUUUGGUCCUAAACUUGUUGCUGUUUUUGAUUAANAUUACACAUGUAAGUAUCCGCAGACCGGUGAAUAAUGCCCUAUAAAGANAAAUGGAGCAGAUAUCAGGCACGAAAUUCAGCCCAAAACAUCUUGCUAUGCCACACCCCCACGGGAAUUCAACAGUGAUAAACAUUAAGCCAUAAGCAACAGCCAUUUUUUAAAGCUUGACUUAGUUAUAAUCAACACGGGUCGGCUAAUCUCGUGCCAGCCGCCGCGGUUACACGAAAGACCCAAACCAGCAAUCUAACGGCGUAAAUUGUGACUAGACUGCCACCCCAAAAUAAGAAGGAAACCCCUACCAAUACGUAAAACUUUAAAGGUAGAAUGAGCCUUCUUAACUCAAGUACUUUGAACUCACGAGGGCUAAGAAACAAACUAGGAUUAGAUACCCUACUAUGCUUAGCCGUAAAAAGACACCAUCAAACAAAGUGUCCGCCAGAGAAUUACAAGUAAAAAACUUUAAACUCAAAAGACUUGGCGGUACCCCACACCCAACUUAGAGGAGCCUGUCCUAUAAUCGAUAACCCACGCUUAACCCAACCAUCUCUUGCCAACCAGCCUAUAUACCGCCGUCGAAAAUCUACCUCACAAGAGUAGAAGUUGUAGGUAAAAUAGUUUUAACACUAAAACGUCAGGUCAAGGUGUAGCUUAUAAGAUGGAAGAGAUGGGCUACAUUUUUUAAUACUAAAAUAUACAGAAAGGCCAUGAAAUAGCCCCUAAAGGAGAAUUUAACAGUAAAAUUGAUAAAAAUACCAACUUUAAGCCUGCUCUGGGGUGCGCACACACCGCCCGUCACCCUCCUCCACUAAAACUUUUAAACCACUUUAUAAACAAAAACAGUACAAAAGAUGAGGCAAGUCGUAACAUGGUAAGCGCACUGGAAAGUGUGCUUGGAACU
rnacentral:ncRNA from 1 species